UAGGGGCCACCUCUCAUAUUCCUCCUCUAAACGCCAAUUUCAACCGGGAGUUCUCGAUAACUGCCACCAUUUUCGCCAAUUCUUCCCACUUUGACAUGCCAAUAUCACUUCACUAAGGUUGCAGCUGUUUUUCGUUUUUUUAGAUGCUUUGUAUUCAGUCCUUCACAGCAGAGAGGGGCGAGUGACAAAUGACAAAAGCUUCAGGCUAGGUCAAAACCAAGGACAUGAUUGUAUGUAGGUGGAAUGAGAACCUGUCUGACAGGAGAUUUGUCAUGGAUGUUGACCAUGUGCUGAUGCUCCAUCCCUCCCAGGUCUUUGUGCCCUGUCAGACCUGCACACAGACCCAGAUGAGCCUGCUCUUUGGAAAAUAAUAACCACUCUCACAGGAACAGGUUAAAGGUUAGGACCAAAUUCCAAUAAUAAACUUGGUUAAGUCCUUGUUCCUGUAUGCUGGUACUGCAUUGACAUUCCUCAUACAUCAAUGGAUCCGCUUUCUGAUAGAACUGACUGAACUGAAGAGUUUUGUACGGCAAAUGUCAAAAACGGCUGGUUAUAUUGACUGACCUUCAGCCCCCACAGUUCAAGUUGAAACCAAUUGCAAUGAUCUUUCUUUAAUAAAAGAUCAUAUCACGCUGAGUCAGUCAGCCGAGUCCAAUAGCAAAAC